rnacentral:rRNA from 1 species
GACGAACGCUGGCGGCGUGCUUAACACAUGCAAGUCGAACGGGAUCCGGGCUUUCGGGUUUGGUGAGAGUGGCGAACGGGUGAGUAACACGUGAGUAACCUGCCCCCUUCUUUGGGAUAACGUCGGGAAAUCGGCGCUAAUACUGGAUAUUCUUGCUGCAUCGCAUGGUGUGGUUUGGAAAGGGUUUCUGGUGGGGGAUGGGCUCGCGGCCUAUCAGCUUGUUGGUGGGGUGAUGGCCUACCAAGGCUUUGACGGGUAGCCGGCCUGAGAGGGUGUCCGGCCACACUGGGACUGAGACACGGCCCAGACUCCUACGGGAGGCAGCAGUGGGGAAUAUUGCACAAUGGGCGCAAGCCUGAUGCAGCGACGCCGCGUGAGGGAUGACGGCCUUCGGGUUGUAAACCUCUUUCAGUAUGGAACAAGGAUCCUUCUUUUAGGGGGUUUGAGGGUACGUGCAGAAGAAGCGCCGGCUAACUACGUG